GCCGGGUGUGGUGGUGCACACCUGUAAUCCCAGCUAUUCGGGAGGCUGAGGCAGGAGAAUUGCUUGAACCCAGGAGGUGGAGGUUACAGUGAGCCCAGAUUGUGCCGCUCCAGCCUGGGCAACAGAGCAAGACUCUGUCUCAG
ensembl:misc_RNA Metazoa_SRP Metazoan signal recognition particle RNA